rnacentral:lncRNA from 1 species
GCAAGCUGUCGGGGAGUCAGUUCAAGGCUGUGUAAUCCCCAGUAUGGCCGCCAAGAGCUCACAGAAGCAAGAAAUAAAUCACCAUGCCUCCAAAUGAGGCGGUGACUGGGAGUGAGCCGGGUGUUUGAUGAGGUCUCUGAGGGCUCAUGGUUUCCUUCCAGCUCCGUAGCACACAGCUAAGUCACACCAUCUCUCCUGACCCCACUUUCACUGAUGUUCCAAUUAAAAGCUCCUUAAAAGAGAGGAGAAAUGCAGCCGGCUUGAGGAGGGUCCUGUUGAGCUGAUUACCAUGAGCCGCCCUAAACCAGAACUGAUCAAGCUCUGCUGGCAGCGUCUUUAGAACUUGGGUGGCCCCAUUCAAAGCUGAAAAAAAAAUCAACAAAAGGGCAAGGGUGGGGAGA